rnacentral:other from 1 species
AAAACCCUGCGGUGUUCGUGCUAUGCCGAAGAGCCUUGAGCCAACACUAAAUCCGAUCGAGGCUGACUCCUGUCCGGUUGAGGAGACCUUAAAAGGGUCACCAAAGCUAAGGACGGGGAGGCCUCACCAAUAGGUGAGGAUCGGGUCAAGGCCUUCUUGGCACGGCAUUGCGGGGUUUUC